rnacentral:rRNA from 1 species
GACGAACGCUGGCGGCGUGCUUAACACAUGCAAGUCGAGCGGAGCGGCUUACGGGUGAGUAACGCGUUAGUAACUGCCACCCUCCCUGGGAGAACAGUUGGAAACGGCUGCAAAUACCGGAUAGUGGGGUAUGAGUCGGGUCCUAUCAGAUUGUUGGGGGGGUAGUGGCCUACCAAGGCGACGACGGGUAGCCGGCCUGAGGGGGCGACCCGCCACAUAGGGCACGGAUGCGGGCCGAACGCAUACGGGAGGAAUCAAUGGGGGAUAUUCCACGAUGGGGGAAGCCCUGAUGGAGCAACGCGCGUGUGAGAUGUCGGUCUUCGGGUUGUAAAGCCCUUUCGGCGAUGACGCGGUAGUGGCAUAGGAAGCAACGGCUAACUACGUGCCAGCAGCCGCGGUAAUAC